rnacentral:rRNA from 1 species
UACGUAGGUGACAAGCGUUGUCCGGAUUUACUGGGCGUAAAGAGCGCGCAGGCGGUCGAUCAAGUCGAGUGUGAAAGCCCCCGGCUCAACUGGGGAGGGUCAUUUGAUACUGAUCGACUCGAAGGCAGGAGAGGGUAGUGGAAUUCCGGGUGUAGCGGUGAAAUGCGUAGAUAUCCGGAGGAACACCGGUGGCGAAGGCGGCUUCCUGGACCGACACUGACGCUGAGGCGCGAAAGCUAGGGGAGCAAACGGG